rnacentral:rRNA from 1 species
AGCAGCCGCGGUAAUUCCAGCUCCAAUAGCGUAUAUUAAAGUUGUUGCAGUUAAAAAGCUCGUAGUUGAAUUUCGGGGUCAGUAGAUUGGUCAUGCCUCCGGUAUGCACUGGUCUUACUGGCUUCUCCUUCCUGAUGAACCGUAAUGCCAUUAAUUUGGUGUUGCGGGGAGACUGGACUGUUACUUUGAAAAAUUGAGUGUUUAAAGCAGGCUAACGCUUGAAUACAUUAGCAUGGAAUAAUGAAAUAGGACGUUCGAUCUUAUUUGUUGGUUUCUAAGAUUGACGUAAUGAUUAAUAGGGAUAGUUGGGGCAUUAGUAUUCAAUUGUCAGAGGUGAAAUUCUUGGAUUUAUUGAAGACUAACUACUGCGAAAGCAAUUUGCCAAGGAUGUUUCAUUAAU